rnacentral:rRNA from 1 species
UACCAGCACCCCGAGUGGUCGGGACGAUUAUUGGGCCUAAAGCAUCCGUAGCCGGUUUUUACAAGUCCUCCGUUAAAUCCAGCUGCUUAACAGAUGGGCUGCGGAGGAUACUAUAAGACUAGGAGGCAGGAGAGGCAAGCGGUACUCAGUGGGUAGGGGUAAAAUCCUCUGAUCCAUUGAAGACCACCAGUGGCGAAGGCGGCUUGCCAAUACGCGCUCGACGGUGAGGGAUGAAAGCUGGGGGAGCAAACCGG